UACGUAGGGGGCAAGCGUUGUCCGGAUUUAUUGGGCGUAAAGAGCGUGUAGGCGGCUAGAUAGGUCCGUUGUGAAAACUCGAGGCUCAACCUCGAGACGUCGAUGGAAACCAUCUGGCUAGAGUCCGGAAGAGGAGAGUGGAAUUCCUGGUGUAGCAGUGAAAUGCGUAGAUAUCAGGAGGAACACCGGUGGCGAAGGCGGGUCUCUGGGCCGAAAUUGACGCUGAGGAGCGAAAGCGUGGGGAGCAAACAGG
rnacentral:rRNA from 1 species